UACGGAGGGGGCUAGCGUUGUUCGGAAUUACUGGGCGUAAAGCGCGCGUAGGCGGAUCUGCAAGUCGGGGGUGAAAUCCCGAGGCUCAACCUCGGAACUGCCUUCGAUACUGCGGGUCUCGAGUCCGGGAGAGGUGAGUGGAAUUCCUAGUGUAGAGGUGAAAUUCGUAGAUAUUAGGAAGAACACCAGUGGCGAAGGCGGCUCACUGGCCCGGUACUGACGCUGAGGCGGCGAA
rnacentral:rRNA from 1 species